GCGCAUAACACGGAAUUUCCGUGAUAUUGCUGUACUAUAUACGCAGAUCAUUUGUUAGCUGGUGCAGCUGGUUGCUGGAUGUAUGUGGUAUCACUACAAUCCAAUCCAAGGCACUCGACCUGAACUAUUCAGUACCAGUGGUGAGAGGCAAACAUCAGGAGCUGUGUCAUUUUAUCUACAUGUAAUCCAAUUUGAAGGACAUUCAAGUUCUAAUCAGGAACAAAACUUCAGAAAUAUCCAAUAGGAAAGAAUCAUUCACUGGCAAACUUGGUGGAGGAAGCAGGGAGUUGUACAGGAAGGAAGCCGUAUAGUUGUAUUUUGUGGGGGUUCUUUCCCUCCUGUUUUGGUCACAUAAAAGUGCCGUUCAGUUCGUCAGUGCUUCGGCCUCAGUAGCCUAUAAUGAGGAAAGCAGACAGGCUGGUCUGAAGAAUUGAUCACAACUAAUGAUUUGCCUUGCACGAUUGAAAAAAAGAAAUAUUUGAAAUUGACUUUUAGCAUUGUGGGAUUCCUGAUAAAGAAGUCAUACUGCAUCUUCAUUAAAGCAUUUUUUGUUGAACUGAAAUGCUGCCUGGAAAGUGACUGAGCAAGAAGUGAAGAGGCUGUUGAGAUAUUUUGUAAAAAGGGAUUAAGCCCUCACAUCAGUCGGAGGAACCCUAGUGCAGUAUAGUUUGAACAAAUCCUGGACAAUUAAUUUUCUUGUCAUGGAGAUGGAAAUGGAGCCAGGAGUUCUGCUCAUUACAGCUAAUGUGGGCUCAAUAUUUGAAGAGCCUGUACACAUGAUGUCAGUCUGGUUAGACAAAUUAUAUGAGACAAUAAAAAGAUUGGAGCCCAAGUUUAUUGCCCUUCAUUGCCAAGAACUCGGAGGGAAGAACUAUGAAUCCAGCAUGCAACACGUAGACAACUUUCUGCAGAAACUUUACGACAGUGAAGCGUUCCAAGAUUUUGAUCGAUCAAGCAUCUUUCUUGACAAGGAAUUCAAGACCCCAGAGUGUUUUACAGCAUUAGGCAGUUUUUAUUUCAUUCACAAGUCACUCAAAGAUGCACAGUGCUAUGACUAUAAAGAUUGUAAGUACCGAGAUCUCUCUGGUCAUGAGGAAUACUCCAGCAACCUUGCCAAAGUCACAACUCAAGAGAAGCUCAAAUUCCCCUCUCAUUUCUUUCCAGAGUGCAAGUGGUCAAGAAAAGGUUUCAUGAGAACAAGAUGGAGCAUUAAUGGAAGGCAAUUUGAACUGGUCAAUGUGCACCUGUUCCACGAUGCAAACAACGUCAUCGCCGUGGAAACGCAAUUCCCAUCACAAUACAGUAAAACAAGGAGAAAAGCAUUAGAAUUUGUUAUUCAGAGACUUUCACAAGAGAAGCACAGUAGAGUACCAUUCUUCAUCUUUGGAGAUUUCAACUUCAGGUUAGAUGCCCAGGGUGUAGUCAAGGCUCUUGUCUUACAAGCAAAGCCAAAAUAUACCAAGAAAGAUGGUGCCAUCACGAGAAUAGAAUAUUCAGAUGAAGAUAAUGCUCAGGUCUUGUUAACGUUAGAAAAGAAGAAGUUUGAAAUGGAUGAUCCAGAUAGAAUAUUGUCAUAUGGAAUUCAGUGGUUGUCAAGGUUUGACAAGGAAUUUAGCUGCUUCUCUAAACAACUCUCAGAAUUUGAUGUCACAUUUAACCCGAGCUAUCCAUACAGUGAAGAUAUAUCAGAUGGUCACAGCUACAUGAAGACAAGACCACCAGCGUGGUGUGACAGAGUCUUUAUGUCACACUCAGCUAAGAGUCUCAUAUCGGAUGCAAAUUCAAGACCAAGCUACAAUGUAAUUGGUCAAGAUGUGUGUAUGGGAGACCACAAGCCCGUCUUCCUCCACUUCCCCUUGUCAAAGAGCGGUGCUAAUAUAUCAGGUAAUGGUCACGCCACGCGGCAAGUGCGCCGUAAAUGCUGUUGCCUGUUGCAAUGACACCAGUCUUCCUGCCACUCCACCACCACCAUCCCGCCUUCUUACAAACCUCAUUCCAGUCUCUUGUCUUCCUCCUGUUGCUCGGUGUUUUAUAUAUUUGAUAUUGGUGUAGAUGUAUAUUUGGUGAAUGCUUGUGUUAUCCUGCCACGCCCUUCCAACAGUCGUAACCACCCCCUCUGCAGUUGUCUUCCUCUUCAACCCGUCUUCUUCUUCGUCUACUCCCUCUUAAUAGUCUGGUGCCUCAGUGCCACAGUAGAACCAGACAUAAAGCGGCAACGACUCUUGUGAAUGUCAGCACCCGAAACUUUGUUUGUGUGGCCAUUGCGAAUUCGCUACAAGUACAACUACCACUACACACGAUCAGAGCGCCCUCAUGUGCUGAUAUAUCGUGAGACAUCUGUUUGAAUGCUGGCUCUGAAGUCAUGGACCAAUCAUCUGUCAUUCUCCUCUCAUUUAAUCCCCUAACCUUUUUCUCUUCCUUAUUCUAAUUUCGUCUGUGUUGAUAUGGAGGCUGAAUAAUGCAAACUUGUUUAAAGAAUGGAUCAAAUUUCUUGUUUGUAAGGUCCACCUAUCCACUGAGAUGUAUGAAAAAGCUUCGACUUGUGGGAUAAGCUGAACAGUGCAUUUUUCCUUUUUCUCUUGCAUGCUUAACACCUAAUUUUAAUAACCAUAAUUUUUUUUAAACAAUGCUUCUAAACAGUUUGCAUUUUGCAUUCAAUAUUGAAGUCGUGAACAUAAAAUGAUCUGGCUUGAAGUUCACAGUAAAUUUAGCUAGGAAUACUAAAAUGAAAAAAAUCUGCUUUCCUGCAAGCUUCAUGAUCAGAGUAAACUCCAAAUUGGUUUUAAUUUUUUUUUUGGCUAGUAAAUUUUUUUCAGGUAGGAACUAUCCUUAAUUUGUGGUUGAAAACUUUUUUUUGCUUGUCAAAUUUUCCUCCGAAAAAUUUGUCCCCCACUUUUGGAAAAUCCUGGAUCUGCCCCUGACUUCAUACCACUAUUCAGAACUUUUUUAUUGUAAUGAUUUCACUGAUAUGAAUGUUCACAUCAAAUGCUAUUUCAAUUUUCCAAAAAAUUGGAAUGCAAAUGGAUGGGAUAGUGUGCUCCUUGCUUUGAAUGAUAUCAUACAGCAUAGUAUUUGAAUACCAAAAUUUGAAUAAACAUCUCAUAUAUGUAUUUGGACAUUGCAAUAACAGUAAGAUUGCCAAACAAUCAGAAACAUUUUUUUUUAGAUUUCCCAUAUUUUAAGAUUUUUAAGUGGUAUCCAGAUAUAGCUUCUAAAUAAACAUCAAUCUUGAUUUGGUGUGAUAUAAACUAUUUGCAACUAAUUAUAUCUAUUAAACUUGAUUGCACAUAAGUAUAGAGAUGGUGAUUUUCUGUUUCAAAAACUGGUCUUUUCUGUUUCUGAAAAUCUGUAAUUCCAUUUCAACUUUAAAAAAUUAUGUUUUGUCACUGAAAAUGUACACUGCAAAAACCUGAAUUCCGUUUUGCAUAGGUGAAUUCCAUGAAUUUUACAUGAAUAGUAUAAGAACCGAAUGGAAUUUUCAUUUUAUUUACCGGUAAGAUAAAAAAGAAUCACUGUCCCUGCACAUAUUUUUUCUGCAAUUGAAUUUAAGUAGACAAGUAACAGUUGCUAUUAAACAGUGUUUUGUGAUGCUGGUCUUAUAUCACCAAUAAUUAGAAUGCCAAUCAUGGCUAUAAAUUCAUUUUCAAGAAACUUUAAGAAGGAAUUUCUGAAACUGGGUUUAUAUCCAUGGAUAACAUUGAUGUUUCGGGACACUUCAUCUUAAAAAAAAUGCACUUGGCUUCAGAAUAAUGCUAAGUUUAAGAUUUUUAAUGUCAAUCUUUAUAUAGAAGUUUGAAUGUCUUUGGAGUUGAACUCCAAAAUCCUUUACAAUUUGAUGACUAAAAGGGGGAGCCUCUCCAUUAUCAAAUUGACUAGAAUAAUUUUUUACUCUGCUAUGUAAGGUAAGAUACACAGUAAUAAGCUAUCACCUGAAAAUAUUUCAUCCCUUAUAUUUAGGCCUAAGUCUAUAUUUGAAUGAUUCACAAACUUGUAAUUUUACCCCUUCAGUUGAUGAGUGAAAUUUUGAACAAAGAAGCACAAGUUUUUGUGAUAUUCCUUCAAUGAGAUGACAAUGAAAC